AGUGGAUCUCGUCUUCUAAUUUUCUUCCGAGGCGCUCGUAUCCCAGGUGCUUUGACGAUUGAUUGCUCCGGGUCUGCUAGUAGCUUCAAAUAUAUCAUGGCAUCUUCCUGCUCAGAGGAGAGAAUUGUCAAGUUUAUUGUAGAGCGAUUGUAAAAUUGCGCUAACUGUGAUGCAGGUCCAUCUCUAGCUUUAAGUAUACAUCAUUUUAGUAUCUGGAGCACAAAUCAGUGUUACCUCGAUAUACGUCUCCAAUUUUUUUUCCGAAUCGGACAUCCCGUAUCUGAGUCAGAUUCCGACAUCCGUGUUGAAUUUUAAGUUGUAUUUCGCGAACAAUGCUAAAUUCGUGUUCACUGUCGGUUCAGCAUUGUAUCUGGAGUGGUCUUGCAGUAGAACUUCUUAUGCCACUAGCUUUCUGCUUUUUAUGCUGUUAGGUUGUUAUACAUUCCGAUUGCUGAGCAUUUACGCGAUCUGGGAAUAUGCCCCUUUGGUCUAAAAACAUAAUAAUUUUCGCAGAAACUUUUUCUUGGGGCACUGUCCUGUUUCGUCAAGUGAUAGCUUGUAGCUGCUGCUGCUGAUAUAUAGCAUAUUCGUGUAUUGAGAAAAAAAUAUACAAGAAUAGCAAAUUUACAACUGCGAAGUGCUGGUUAAUUGAAACAAAAUUCUGCAAAAUAACCUUGACCUCCUAUUAGCCAUUUAUCAGAUGAAUAUGCACUUAUUCACAGCCUUGAUCGUGAAAAAAAUUACGACACAAGAGUUCAAAUGACAUACUCGUUAAUUCCAGCCCAUAACUGGUCCUCGUUCACAAAUCUCAACUGACCUGCCUCAUUCAUCAAUGGAGUUGCUAUAGUUGCCAGCAGCACCUGGAGCUAGUUGGUUAAUUCUAAACAUGGAGGUGGUAGGACAUCACAGAGCACAACUUCCCUCAUUCGUCAGCUCAUUACACGGCAGGCACACAAGGCACAGUUCAAAUCAUCUACAAAACGCACGAUUCAAAUGCCAGAAGCCCAGAACCAAAAGUUUUCUCAUAUAUCAAUUCAUCCUAAAAACGACAUUUCCUAUAGAAUUCGUUCAACAAAAACAUUCACAGCCUGAUACGUCAAGCUGGUACAUUAAUUUUCGUAAGCCUGGUCCAUCAAGCUGGUGCGUUAACUUCUGCAUCUGCAAGCCUGGUACAUAGCUGCUGCAGUGAAGCUGAUGCGUGAGGUUGAGUUUUUGCUUUUUUUCCAGUGGGUUCUCCUGUUGCACCUGAAAGGCUGAAACAUUGCCUCUCUGAUAUGAGUUGGUUAACAAGUUUCCUUAAACCUUUGUUCUUUUUUUCUGCUCUACAAUUUCCCAAAAAAUGCUAUCCAAACAAGUCCUAGUGUUAGGCUAAAAUAUGAUUUAUCAUUGAUUUCAUUGGUUAAGGAUGUUAAAUUCUUAUUAUCUGUUGAGGAGGCAUUGGUGCCAAGACAAUAGAAUUGCCAUUGGCUGACAAGAUCCGUCUAUGUUUUCUCUUAAUUAAAAACUUACAUCUUCUCUUGAGAUGUUUGAGAGUUGUAAGAGUAAGAUCAUGGCAACAAUGUGACUCUACUAGUCGGGCCUAUACUGUCUACAUUUCAAUUUUUGUGAUUUGGGGUUUUGGACAGUAAGAGAAGCUAACUUCUUAAAUUUCAUUUGUGCAGGACUGCAGGCUAACAAUAUGUUUCUACAAUGGCAUAUUUCAUAAAUUUGAAUAUAUGAUUUGAGAAAGUAUGUUUGUUCUUGCUAGCAAACACUGAAAAAAGUUUCUGUCAAGAAGUCAGGGGCAUUUUUUUGUUUUAAGUAAAAAGUUUCAAUCAGUUAGACCCUCCAAAUAAAUAGAUGGCUUGAACGUUUGCAACAUAAGAGCAUGUACCAUUGGGUGCUUAUGGAAAAAACCGGGUUUUUUUUUUCUUAACUGCAGUAGCACAGUUGUCUAGGCGGAGAGCAGGAUGCUUACUUAAGCACCAAUGCUUAUAUUAGUGCUAACAAGAUAGGUAACCAUAUUUCAGCACAUGUAGUCUUUGUUUGCAUUGGAAAUUACAAUUUUUAUAUAGGUGCUUAACACUCUCUUUUCUUAAACACCUAACUAUAAGCACCUAGCGUUGUUCAUGCUCUAAUUGUCAAAGCUAUGUAACAAAUGUUUCAGAAUUUGGUUGAUGACCAUCCUCCACCCUAACGAAGUUAAUUUCAUUCUUUUUUCAACAGAUCCCCUGAAGAUUUAUCAACUCCAGUCAACAGCUACACAAUUAACAAAAGAGAGUAGUUCUGCUGACAACACUGAGCUCCUUUCUGACAUCAGGGAUAAGGUAAUUUAACUUGUGGGAACACAUCGUAUUUCUCUAUGCCAGUAAUCUUAGUACAAAUUUACCACAAUGUCUACUUAAAGUGGGAUGCCAUUGAGAAACAUUUGUUACAUAGCUUGUACGGUGGUGGAGCAAUCCUUGCUGUUUGGCUAUCCUCGGUUGUGGUCAGAGCUCUUGGCUCUGUUCCAUCGCUCCCUCGGGCUUGGCUACUCAGGAUGGUUUGUGUACCGGCUCCUGCUCUUUCAGGAAAGUCGUCAAGAAUUAGCCACUAGCCUCGAUGCUCUAAAGAAAAGGAUUACUGGCGAUGAUGAAUAGCUGUAUCCUGGUUUGAAAUUAUAUUUCUCCCUGGAGCAUUGUGACUUCUUUGUCACUUGAUCAAACAUGAGGCAACUUGAUCUUGUUAAUAGAGUGAUUAAUUUAUCA